rnacentral:tRNA from 1 species
CCUCGCCCAGCGGGUGGUCUCGGUGGCCUGCGCGCUCGCGGCGCGCAACCGCGGGCUCCGUUCCGUGGCGGCGGC